rnacentral:antisense_RNA from 1 species
UGUGGGAGCGGGCUUGCCCGCGAUGACGGAGUGUCAGCCAAUGAUUCAUUGACUGAUUCACCGCAAUCGCGGGCAAGCCCGCUCCCACA